rnacentral:rRNA from 1 species
AACGGGUGAGGAACACGUGAAGAAUCUGCCCCUCAUUUUGGGAUAACUUCGGGAAACCGAGGCUAAUACCGAAUAUUGAAACAUAAGUGGCAUCACUGAGUUUUGAAAGUUUUUCGAUGAGGGAUGACUUCGCGGCCUAUCAGCUAGUUGGUGAGGUAACGGCUCACCAAGGCAACGACGGGUAGCCGGCCUGAGAGGGCGAACGGCCACACUGGGACUGAGACACGGCCCAGACUCCUACGGGAGGCAGCAGUAGGGAAUAUUGCGCAAUGGAGGAAACUCUGACGCAGCGACGCCGCGUGCGGGAUGAAGGCUUCGGGUUGUAAACCGCUUUCAGUAGGGAAGAAGCGAAAGUGACGGUACCUACAAAAGAAGCACCGGCUAACUAUGUGCCAGCAGCCGCGGUAAUACAUAGGGUGCAAGCGUUGUCCGGAAUUAUUGGGCGUAAAGAGCUCGUAGGUCGUUUGUUACGUCGGAUGUGAAAAUCUGAGGCUCAACCUCAGACCUGCAUUCGAUACGGGCAAACUAGAGUUUGGUAGGGAGACUGGAAUUCCUGGUGUAGCGGUGGAAUGCGCAGAUAUCAGGAGGAACACCAACGGCGAAGGCAGGUCUCUGGGCCAAUACUGACACUGAGGAGCGAAAGCGCGGGGAGCGAACAGGAUUAGAUACCUGGUAGUCCGCGCCGUAAACGGUGGGUACUAGUUGUGGGAACCUUCCACGGUUUCUGCGACGACGCUAACGCAUUAAGUACCCCGCCUGGGGAGUACGAUCGCAAGAUUAAAACUCAAAGGAAUUGACGGGGCCCCGCACAAGCAGCGGAGCAUGCGGCUCAAUUCGAUGCAACGCGAAGAACCUUACCAAGGCUUGACAUAUAGCGAAAAGUGGCAGAGAUGUCAUGUCCGCAAGGGCGCUAUACAGGUGGUGCAUGGUUGUCGUCAGCUCGUGUCGUGAGAUGUUGGGUUAAGUCCCGCAACGAGCGCAACCCUCGUUCUGUGUUACCAGCAUUUAGUUGGGGACUCACAGGAGACUGCCGGGGUUAACUCGGAGGAAGGUGGGGAUGACGUCAAAUCCUCAUGCCCCUUAUGUCUUGGGCUGCACGCAUGCUACAAUGGCCGGUACAGAGGGCUGCGAAACCGUAAGGUGGAGCGAAUCCCAAAAGCCGGUCUCAGUUCAGAUUGAGGUCUAAAAC